rnacentral:rRNA from 1 species
UACGUAGGGUGCAAGCGUUGUCCGGAAUUAUUUGGGCGUAAAGAGCUUGUAGGCGGUUUGUCGCGUCUGCUGUGAAAUUUCGGGGCUCAACCCCGAACUUGCAGUGGGUACGGGCAGACUAGAGUGUGGUAGGGGAGACUGGAAUUCCUGGUGUAGCGGUGAAAUGCGCAGAUAUCAGGAGGAACACCGAUGGCGAAGGCAGGUCUCGUGGGCCAUAACUGACGCUGAGAAGCGAAAGCAUGGGGAGCGAACAGG